UACAUGGGGUGCAAACGUUGCUCGGAAUUAUUGGGCGUAAAGCGCACGUAGGCGGUUUGUUAAGUCGGAUGUGAAAUCCCUCGGCUCAACUGAGGAAGUGCAUCCGAAACUGGCAAGCUUGAGUACGAAAGAGGGUCGCGGAAUUCCCGGUGUAGAGGUGAAAUUCGUAGAUAUCGGGAGGAACACCGGUGGCGAAGGCGGCGACCUGGGUCGAUACUGACGCUGAGGUGCGAAAGCGUGGGUAGCGAACAGG
rnacentral:rRNA from 1 species